rnacentral:rRNA from 1 species
AUACGGAGGAUGCGAGCGUUAUCCGGAUUUAUGGGUUUAAAGGGUGCGUAGUGGAGAGAUAAGUCAGUGGUGAAAUCCUGAUGCUUAACGUUAGGAUUGCCGUUGAAACUGUUUUUCUAGAGUGUGAUUGAGGCAGGCGGAAUGUGUGGUGUAGCGGUGAAAUGCAUAGAUAUCACGCAGAACUCCGAUUGCGAAGGCAGCUUGCCAAGCCACAACUGACACUGAAGCACGAAAGCGUGGGGAUC